rnacentral:rRNA from 1 species
UAUCCAGACUCCUACGGGAGGCAGCAGUGGGGAAUAUUGCACAAUGGGGGAAACCCUGAUGCAGCGACGCCGCGUGAGUGAAGAAGUAUUUCGGUAUGUAAAGCUCUAUCAGCAGGGAAGAUAAUGACGGUACCUGACUAAGAAGCCCCGGCUAACUACGUGCCAGCAGCCGCGGUAAUACGUAGGGGGCAAGCGUUAUCCGGAUUUACUGGGUGUAAAGGGUGCGCAGGUGGCAGGGCAAGUCAGAUGUGAAAGCCCGGGGCCCAACCCCGGGACUGCACUGGAAACUGCCGGGCUGGAGUGUCGGAGGGGCAGGCGGAAUUCCUAGUGUAGCGGUGAAAUGCGUAGAUAUUAGGAGGAACACCGGUGGCGAAGGCGGCCUGCUGGACGACGACUGACGCUGAGGCUCGAAAGCGUGGGGAGCAAACAGGAUUAGAUACCCCUGUACG